rnacentral:lncRNA from 1 species
AUUGCUCUGUGGGUCCCAAGAUCCGGACUUAGAGGACGCGGGGAGGGCGGGGCGGCGCCCGGCUUCCGGGUAGUGGCAGGGGGGGGCGCGCGGCCCCUUGCGGGUCGGUGCCUCUGGGCCCAAGCCCCGAGCCUCCUACAGGGGCGGCCCCCUGCCUGAGGCGCGGGUGGGUUCCGACCUCCGAGAGCCGGUCUGGAAGCACUGAGGGGCCCCUACUUUUGCCCCCGAAGUCAGCGGGGCAACAGCCGCUCCCUUGCAGGAGCCGGGCCGUGGGCGGAGGGCCCCGGUGGGUGAGAUCGGUGACCCCCGAAAACUCCGACCAAAGAGCUGCAGCAAGAAAGGAGUUGGUUCCCACAAACCGCCCAGAGUCAAGGAACUAAAAUCAGUCUGAUGGCAGCUGCACAAGAUGGGAAGGAGUAAUCCUUGAAAUUAGACCAAGGAAGCACGUGAAGUGUGUUUGCUCUCAGCCACCAGCCUCAGAAGAGCUCAAGUCCAGGUAGGGUACAUUUUACCUGAGAUCUACUCUGGGGUGUCUUCCCUUGGUCACAGCCUGCUCCCAGGCACUCCUGGUGAGUUGGGUCUCUUUCCUACAUGUUGUGUAGCAUUAUUGUCCCAUAUUCACAGUGAGCUGUCAGAUUCCCAUGAGCAGAAGCCUGUUUCUGAAGCAUCCAAUCAGUCUAGAAAUAAUAGUCUAGUUAUCUGAUUUUUCACAGCUCUUUGCCUUUUCCUUGCACUGAGGAGUUAGGUAGCUAACUUUAUUCACAUCAAACAGCUAUGGAAGUUAAAGUUAUCUCAGAUUCGGAGCUAUAGACAUUACUUAAGAAGCGCUGUGGUUCUUUAAGUAUAUUCACGUCAUAAGCACUCAGCAAACCAGGUUAUUCAAGAAUCCUCUUAUCUCAGAAAGCUGAUUACAUUAUAUAAAUUAUCAAGGCAUUUAUUUCAAAGAUACUGAGAAAAAUCAGAGCAUUCUUGUCAGGUGUCUGUGGCACUUUGGCACUUGACCCCAACAUUCUUAAACAUCCUCUCAUCAAGAGCAAGAGUGCCCCACACGCUUCUCUGAACCAGGAUGAGCCAGUGACUGCUUUGACCAAUUAAGUAUGAUAGAAAGGUUGCUAUGUGACUUUUCAGGCUGGAUCUGAAAAAGCCAUGCCAGUUUUGCUUUCUUUUCUUUGGAUACUUGCUCUGAGAGAAGUCUGCUGCCACAUAGAGUGUAUCUCCCCUAAGAAAGUCAUGCUGGAAAGGCCUUCUGGUCACAGCCCUGCUCAGCUUCCAGCAACAGCCAGCAUCCACUGCCAGCCAUGUGGACAGGCCAUCUUGGGUGUCCCCAGAUGUGUUGACGACUCAGCUCAGUGGAGCCUUCAGAUUGUUGCAGUCUCCACCAACAUCUGACUGCAACCUCUUGAGAAAUGCCUUGUGACAGCAAAGCAGCCAAGCCCUUCCGUAACUCAUAACCCACAAAAUCAUUUAAAAAGAUCGUUUUUAACAAAUUGGUUUUCGGUUCAUACCACUAAAGUUUUAGGGCAAUUUGUUUUACAGUGCCAUUGGGAAAGAAGUUUCUCCCCUUUGACACACCUCCUCACCAUUCCAGCUGCUCACUUUCACUUCUGAGUGUUUGUGCUGUAGUUGCUUCAGUCCAUAUCUUCUUGGGUUUAUCUUUUCAUACUUUACACAUAUACACACACAGCCACAUAGGCACAGCCACCCACAUAGAAAAUUGAUCACUUGGCUCAGUUCUACUCCCCAGAUGACUUCAUUCAGACCUCAUUUUUCAGCUGGGAAAAAAAAAAAAAAAAAAAA